rnacentral:rRNA from 1 species
UACAGGGGGGGCAAGCGUUGUUCGGAAUUACUGGGCGUAAAGGGCUUGUAGGUGGCCGACUAAGUCCGACGUGAAAUCCCCAGGCUUAACCUGGGAACUGCGUCGGAUACUGGUUGGCUUGAAUCCGGGAGAGGGAUGCGGAAUUCCAGGUGUAGCGGUGAAAUGCGCAGAUAUCAGGAGGAACACCGGUGGCGAAGGCGGGUCUCUGGGCCGAUACUGACGCUGAGGAGCGAAAGCGUGGGGAGCGAACAGG